GAAAGUGAUGAAAGCAUCAAAGUUGCAGACUUUCACUCCAUAAUUGCAUUGGAAGAUGAAACCCAUUGUCGGUGUUGUUCUAGCAGCUGCCAUGGCACUGUCUUUUCUUCAAAUUUGUGGGAGCCAGAAGAUUGGGUAUUCUCCUCUUGGUCUGUCCACCGGAAACAGCUCUCAUAUUCCGGCGAUUUUCAACUUCGGAGACUCAAAUUCCGAUACUGGUAGUUGGUCUGCAGCUUUUGGCCCAUUUCUCCCUCCAAACGGUAUCACUUUCUUUGGCAAACCUUCCGGCCGAGCCUCCGAUGGCCGCCUCAUCAUCGACUUCUUAGCUGAAAAACUGGGAUUGCCAUACUUGAGUGCAUUUCUGAACUCUAUAGGAAGCAAUUACAGGCAGGGGGCGAAUUUUGCAGUGAGUGGAGCAACUAUUCAGCAGAGCAAUGGAAAGAUGUAUGAUGCAGACUUCAAUCCUUUGUCACUUGCCAUACAGCUCUCCCAGUUUAAACAAUUGAAAGCUCGCACUGCAGAGUUUUAUGAACAAGCCAAGGAUGAAGAUGGUAAAUGCAAUGUGCUGCCUGAAGAAGAUGAGUUUUCAAGGGGUCUGUACACAAUGGACAUGGGACAGAAUGACCUCCAUUAUUUCUUGAUAUCCAUGACAGAAGAACAAGCAAAAGAGUCCAUAAGUUCUGUUAUUGAUCAAUUUGCAAUGGUUUUAGAGAAACUCCACCAGCUAGACGCGGGGGCGUUUUGGAUCCACAACACAGGCCCCAUAGGGUGUUUGCCAUUCUUUGCUGUUGAUGAUCCAGAAAAACCAGAAACCACUGACCAAAACGGGUGCGUGGAGGCGUACAAUGAGGUGGCCCAGGAGUUCAACACGCAACUUAAAGAGCGAGUCUACAAACUGCGCGAUCAGCUCCAGAGCUCAAGAAUCACCUACGUUGACAUCUACUCUGCUAAAUACGAUCUGAUAAGCAACGCUGCAGCCUAUGGUUUUUCGAAUCCGUUGGGGUAUUGCUGUGGGCAAAGUCACGACUUGCCUUGUUGGCAAGACGUUACAGUAAACGGUACUGAUGUUUAUGCAAGCAGCUGCAAUAAUCCUUCAGAGUAUAUCAGCUGGGAUGGCAUACAUUACAGUGAGGCUGCAAAUAGAUGGGUCGCUGACCGUAUUGCUGAUGGCCUCUACUCUGACCCUCCUCAAACUCGUGUUACUGAAGCCCAUCCCAACCGACGUUACAUGUCUGUGACAAGCACUUGAUCGAGGAGGAGACCGGGGUGUAAACGAAUCAAAUCAACGUGUAACACUCAACUUUGAAACCCAGUGCAUCAGCACUUUUAGUAGAGCAUGGAGAGCAGCCUGCCCUUAUACUUGAAUGGGCCAGUGAAAUUCGUCGAGCCUUCAAUGGAGUUUCGGUUUCUCUGCUGAAUUCAUCAUCUGUUUCUUUCCAGAUAUCAGCACUUCUGUUAGAGCAUGGAGAGUAGCCUGCUCUACUACUUGACUUGGCCAAUGAAAUCCUCAGAGACUUCUGUGCAGGACUUCCAUUUUCAGUGCCAAAAUCGGAUUCGUUUCCUUUGUUUGACUUCACUAGAGAAAUUCUCUUUAACUUUGAAGAGGGACUGGUGCUUAUACAAUCAAAUUCAAACACACUUUCUUUUAAAUCAGCAUCUUUUGGUUCCGGUUGA